rnacentral:rRNA from 1 species
UACGUAGGUGGCAAGCGUUGUCCGGAUUUACUGGGCGUAAAGAGCGCGCAGGCGGUCGUAUAAGUCGAAUGUGAAAGCCCCUGGCUCAACUAGGGAGAGUCAUUCGAUACUGUUCGACUCGAAGGCAGGAGAGGGAAGUGGAAUUCCGGGUGUAGUGGUGAAAUGCGUAGAUAUCCGGAGGAACACCGAUGGCGAAGGCAGCUUCCUGGCCCACAACUGACGCUGAGGUGCGAAAGCGUGGGGAGCGAACAGG